rnacentral:rRNA from 1 species
GCUGAACGCUGGCGGCGUGCCUAAUACAUGCAAGUCGAGCGAACAGACGAGGAGCUUGCUCCUCUGACGUUAGCGGCGGACGGGUGAGUAACACGUGGAUAACCUACCUAUAAGACUGGGAUAACUUCGGGAAACCGGAGCUAAUACCGGAUAAUAUAUUGAACCGCAUGGUUCAAUAGUGAAAGACGGUUUUGCUGUCACUUAUAGAUGGAUCCGCGCCGCCUUAGCUAGUUGGUAAGGUAACGGCUUACCAAGGCAACGAUGCGUAGCCGACCUGAGAGGGUGAUCGGCCACACUGGAACUGAGACACGGUCCAGACUCCUACGGGAGGCAGCAGUAGGGAAUCUUCCGCAAUGGGCGAAAGCCUGACGGAGCAACGCCGCGUGAGUGAUGAAGGUCUUCGGAUCGUAAAACUCUGUUAUUAGGGAAGAACAAAUGUGUAAGUAACUAUGCACGUCUUGACGGUACCUAAUCAGAAAGCCACGGCUAACUACGUG